rnacentral:lncRNA from 1 species
CGCUUGGGACAUAGCAGAGGCUCUGCCAAUAUUCACUGUCAGUUUUACUACUGUUGCUGUUCUAGUGGACCUGCUCAUGUAGAGGAAGGUUUGUGGGCUAAACCAUUCUCCCCUUCUGUGUGUGUGUGUGUGUGUGUGUGUGUGUGUGUGUGUGUGUGUGUGUGUGGUGUGUGUGGUGCUGGGAUCGAACCCAGGGCCCUGAGCGCGCUAGGCCAGCACUGUACCUCUGAGCUCUCCUUCAGGCCCGGCCAAAACAUUUUCCCAUCCACCUUGUGUUUCACCCAGGACAGCACGGCAGGUGCGGAGCUGGUGAGGAACCGGGAGCGUGGCUGCCUUGUCCCUCCUGGGCCUGUUCCUGGCCCUGGCUCACGUCUGUGUGCACAGAGGCGACCUCACUUUGCUGUCCUGCAGUCGAGAGGCUUCAAGCGCCGUCCAACACUGCUUCCAACAACUGUCGAAGUGACAUCCCACCAUGGAGAAGGACAGAGAAAUGAGUGAUUCAACCAUGCUGAAGGCCAACAGCAUCACCAGGAUUCCCUGUGACAGAAGAGAAGAAGACGCGAGGCGCCGUGGACUAGCACAGUAGUGGUUUUUCUGACUAGAAUAAGUUAGGGUUAAACAGGCCACAGAGAGCUCCCAUCUCACAAAUGAAUGCGAUGCUCUGGAACCAAAUUAGUGCAGAAUGAUGCGAAUGUAUGGACAUCCAGCUACUGUAAAUAGAGCGUAGGAAGCAGAUAUUUUGUUCAAGAAAUUCUUAGGAAAUAAUACAGCUUCUAAAUUAUUCCUAGGAAAUAACUUCAGAAAUGUCUAUUGUGAGGCCUAAAAUACGUGUAUGCUUAACUUUGUUAAAAAUUGCCCAAGUAGUUUGUGGAGAUGGUUGAACUGUCUUACACUUCUACCAAAAGCCACGUAAGGGCCAGGGAUGUAGCUCAGUGGGUGCCACCGCCUGCCUCACAAAUGGAAGGUCCUGAGUUCGAUGCCCGGUAACAACAACAACAACAACAAAAAAGCCACAUAAGAGUUCCAGUGCUUCACAUUCUCACCAACAGCUGUUACUGCCAGUGCUUUAAUUAAAGUCAUUUGAUGUGACUUCAGUAGUAGGUUAUUGGGAUUCAAACUUGCAGUUCUCUGACGACCCUACUGCUGACGUGUUUUUAUGUGUCCCCUAACCAUUUGCCAUUCUUCUCCUGUGGAGUAAACGCGUGAGCCUUACUCUUUUGAAUUUUUCUGCCUGUUUAUUACUGAUUUUCAAGAAUGUUUAAUAUAGACCGAAUAUGGCUUCUUUGCCAGAUAUAUGCAUUGGGAGAAGGCUCCCCCAUUCUGUGCCUUAUUUUCCAUGUUCUUCAUGAUUUUCUUGAUGAGGAGGUUUUAGUUUGCUUUUCUCUUUUACUUAUUUUAGAACUAGUCUAUUUUAUUGUUUUUUUUCUUUUAUGGUUAGAGCCUUGUGUGCUCUAAGACAGCUUUGUUCACCCCCAAAGGUAUGAAAAUAUUUCUCUAAGUCCCUCUCCCCACUCCAAAAGCUUCACACUUUAGUUUCACACUUAGGUCUAUUACUGACUGAGUUUUCAAUGUGAAGUCAGCUGUGUACUUGUGGCCAUGAUACAUUCGAAUGCACACUGCUGAACUGUAUUUUCUAGUAUUCUGUUUCUGGGUUCUACACAAAGUUUACAAGAGAGAAUUACUUGUUAAGUUCCUUAUCUUUAAUAUCUCUGCCAGGUUAGUGUCAUAGUUGUGAUGGUCUCACACAAAUGCCUGUGAGUUAGCAAGUGUUCUUCUGUUUUCUGGACAUUACUUGUUAAGGUUGGUUUUAUUUCUUUGGUAAAUGUUCAGAAUAAUUAAUCUGCCUCAGGGUUGCUUUCCUCUUUUGAGGAAAAGUUCUUUUUUCUUUUUUUUCCGGCACUGGGAAUUGAACUCAGGACCUUGCACUUGAGAGGCAGGUGCAGCACCACUGAGCUAAAUCCCUGGCUGAGAGAAAGUUUUAAAUUAUGAGCUUUUGCCAGAGAUAAGACUAAUCAGAUAUUGUGCUUUUUUCUGUGUCAGUCACAGCAAGUGGCUUUGGCAUGGUUUUGGUACGUGGGUUUCACAAAGACUCACAAAGGCUUUGUGAGAGUCACCUGCCAUGAGAAGUUGUUUUUAUUAGUUUUUUUUUUUUUUUUUUUUUGGUACCGGAGAUCAAACUCAGGUCCUUGCACUUAUGCAGCAGGCAGCGAAACCACUGAGCUAAAUCCCCGGCCUGAGAAGUUGUUUUUACAGCAGUCUUCAUAGCAUAGGGUAGCAAGGGCUGCUCUGUCUGUGGUAAUAUGGACCUUGUUAGUGUCUGAGAUUGGUAGUUUUCCUUUCUCUUUUUUCUUGAAUAAUUGUUAGAGGUGGUUUGUGUAUUUUUUAGUCUUUUCAAGUAUUGAUUUUUUGGCUUUAUUGUUUUUAUUAUAAUUUAUUUUAUAUUUUAUUAGUUAUUUAAUCUUUGUUACCUUUAUCCUUUCAUCAUCUUUAAAUUUAACUUCUCUUUUUG